AGCAAGAGGAAGAAGAGCGGGAGAAGAUAAACAAUUUAUUUUACAUCUCCGCAAGGCUGUGUUCGCGGGGAGGAUCACGUCCAGCUGUGCAAACACUUUUCCACGCACCUCAAGGAUCCCAUGUGGGGGAGGAAGGAGACGCGUAGGAAAAGUUGCUGCCCUCUUGUGGCAUUAAAUCAUCCAAGUAACUCAGCUCCCGAUCGGAGAAACAAAAGUCCAGCAGUUUGCGGAUAAAUACCAAAGCCAGCACCUGCAGACGCAGAAGGGGACAGAAAAAUCAGAUUGAGUCAAAGAACGAGAGAACUCCGAGUGGUCAACUCACCAUCAUGGGGAAGACGAUAGCAGCCGGUGAGGUCUUGAUGACCCACAGCAGGACAAGACAUGUGAGCUGCGUGAGCGUGAACAGAUGAACCUUCCUCAAGGGAACGUGACGCAGGUAGAUGAAGUCUGGCUGGUGCUUGGCCGGCAUCCCAAACAACUUAAGACGGUCAAAGAACUGCAAGCAAUAUGUUCGAUAUGUCACAGACACAACAAGGUAAAGGUAUGCAGAAGACAUUUUGUCCCAUUGACACAUAAUCACCAACCACAAUAUUAGGUACACCGACACAAUCAAGUGUACAGGCGGGUCCUAUAGGAUAGUGUGUAUGGAGGCACUUUCAACAAACAAUACACAGACUUGUUCAAUAAAGAUAGUAGACUAUUUAUCCCACAAUGGAGAAAUUCUGGGAUUGCGGUGCAGAUUUUACAUACAGUAACAAAAUAAAACAUUAUUUUUUAUUUUUUCAUUUUCAUUUAUUUAUUUCUGGCAAUGACAUAAAAAAAGUACAAUGUUGACAACACAUAAUAUAAAUUAAUAUAGUGCAAAAGGUAAUGUAUAGUAUGUAAUGCAUGAUUGUCCAGUUUUGCCUGAAAGGGGGUGGGAAGAAGAUAACUUAUUUAAUCCCACCCCCAGUUCUCCAUUCAGUGAUUAUUCACAUGAGUUUCACUC